GCUCCGUUGGUGAACCAGCGGAGGGAUCAUUACAGGACUCGCAAGACUCCUACGACCCUGUGAACUUAACUAUAAGCACGUUGCUUCGGCGGGUGUCUCGGAGGGGGUUCUCCCUCCCCGAGACGCUAAACCCGCCGGCAGCCUACUAUACUCUGUCUCUUUGCGUUGGCAUCUCGAGUACAAUCAAACAAGUUAAAACUUUCAACAACGGAUCUCUUGGUUCUA
rnacentral:misc_RNA from 1 species